GCCUUCGUGGUGUAGUGGUCAGCAUUCUCGACGCGUAACCGAGAGGCCCAUGGUUCGAUUCCCGGAGAGGGUA
rnacentral:tRNA from 1 species